UAAAAGGGCGAGGCCAGAGAGGGAGGGCAACGGGGAUAGGGGAGGAGCUUGGCGGAAGCGGGCGGAGCUCACAGCCAAACAGGGAGUGAGAGGGAGGGGCUGGUCGAGAGGUGAAGGAAUUCAGCCAGCGCAAAAGCAACUGGGAGGGUGAGGUAGAAGCUCCGCAGGACCGGAUGGAGCUCACAGUCAGAGUGACCACCAGCCAAGGUCUCAUCUACCCUCUGCUUCUAGAUCCCGGGUGCCCCUGCUGCUCUUUUUCUCUUUGAAACCAGGAGUAUUGGUAUCCUUGGAUGUGCAGAAGUGCCUGGAGUUCUGGGGGCAGGAGAAUGGCAUCCUGGAAGGUAGGUGACAGUCCCAGAGAGGGCAGCUCCGCUCUGCAUCUGGAUGUCAGCCCCCCGUGGGAUACAAGCUUGAGCUUGUCAGAGGACCCAGGUGUCAAGUAAAGUUGUGUAUAGCCACCAGCGGAGGGGCUGAGCAGAGCAUCCCAGGCCCUUCAGAGACUUACUGUGUGCCUGAGAAAUGAAUCUGAGAUGUGCCUCGGGAUUGGGGGAGGGGGUGUUUGUUUUUGAGUUUUUCUCUUUCUGAAGGUGGAAAGGUUGUACCCGGGGAUCCAAGGCUUUUGCGUUAUCGACCCCAAAUCUGUGCCAUGAAGCCCCAGAGAAUCAUCAUGUCUGGAUUCCUAGUGGAUGGUCACAUCUAGUAGCUCUGGGCUAUAAGCCAGUAGGGGCUAGUUUGGAGAGAGGACAUGCUAUGCCCAGAAGGCUCCCAAGAAGGUGGGCUAGAGAUAUGACCUGCAGACCUACAACCUGGAAAGUCUGAAUAAGGAGUCAAGGGAACUCAUGGCCACCUUUGUCACCUGCUCCCAUGUGAUUCAAUAGCUAUACAUGAGUAUGUAACGUUCCUUGUUCCUCUUCUCCUUCUCCCUGUCCCCCCUCCCCCCCACCAGGGCUUAUAUCUGAAACAUAUGCUGCUCUCCCUUAUAAUAAACUUUCAACUUUGUGUCA